rnacentral:lncRNA from 1 species
CAGGGCAGUUUUCCUUGAUAAUCUUUCUUUCUUUCUUUCUUUCUUUCUUUCUUUCUUUCUUUCUUUCUUUCUUUCUUUCUUUCUUUCUUUCUUUCUUUCUUUCUUUCUUUCUUUCUUUCUUUCUUUCUUUCUUUCUUUCUUUCUUUCUCUCUUUCAUUCUUUCUCUCUUUCAUUCUUUCUCUCUUUCUUCCUUUCUUUCUUCCUUCCUUCCUUCCUUCCUUCCUUCCUUCCUUCCUUCCUUCCUUCCUUCCUUCCUUCCUUCCUUCCUUCCUUCCUUCCUUCCUUCCUUCCUUCCUUCCUUCCUUCCUUUCUUUCUUUCUUUCUUUCUUUCUUUUCCUUCCUUCCUUCCUUCCUUCCUUCUAUCCUUCCUUCCUUCCUUCCUUCCUUCCUUCCUUCCUUCCUUCCUUCCUUCCUUCCUUCCUUCCUUCCUUCCUUCUUUCCUUCCUUCCUUCCUUCCUUCCUUCCUUCCUUCCUUUCUUCCUUUCCUCUAUUUCUUCCUUCCUUCCAUUUCUUCCUUCUUUCCUUCUGUAUUCAAAUAUGG